AGAGUUUGAUCAUGGCUCAGAAUCAACGCUGGCGGCGCGCCUAACACAUGCAAGUCGAACGAGAAAGUGGAGCAAUCCAUGAGUACAGUGGCGUACGGGUGAGUAACACGUGGGUAAUCUACCUCUUAGUGGGGAAUAACCAGGGGAAACUCUGGCUAAUACCGCAUAAGCCUGAGAAGGGAAAGCAGCAAUGCGCUGAGAGAGGAGCCCGCGGCCGAUUAGCUAGUUGGUGGGGUAAGAGCCCACCAAGGCAGAGAUCGGUAGCCGGCCUGAGAGGGCACACGGCCACACUGGCACUGAAACACGGGCCAGACUCCUACGGGAGGCAGCAGUGGGGAAUCUUGCACAAUGGGGGAAACCCUGAUGCAGCGACGCCGCGUGAGCGAUGAAGCCCUUCGGGGUGUAAAGCUCUUUCGUCAGGGACGAUAAUGACGGUACCUGGAGAAGCAGCUGCGGCUAACUGCGUGCCAGCAGCCGCGGUAAUACGUAGGCAGCAAGCGUUGUUCGGAGUUACUGGGCGUAAAGGGUGUGUAGGCGGUUCUUUAAGUUUGGUGUGAAAUCUCCCGGCUCAACUGGGAGGGUGCGCCGAAUACUGAGGGACUAGAGUACGGGAGAGGAAAGUGGAAUUCCUGGUGUAGCGGUGAAAUGCGUAGAUAUCAGGAGGAACACCGGUGGUGUAGACGGCUUUCUGGACCGUAACUGACGCUGAGACACGAAAGCGUGGGUAGCAAACAGGAUUAGAUACCCUAGUAGUCC
rnacentral:rRNA from 1 species